CUGAUGCAGCCAUGCCGCGUGUAUGAAGAAGGCCUUCGGGUUGUAAAGUACUUUCAGCGGGGAGGAAGGGAGUAAAGUUAAUACCUUUGCUCAUUGACGUUACCCGCAGAAGAAGCACCGGCUAACUCCGUGCCAGCAGCCGCGGUAAUACGGAGGGUGCAAGCGUUAAUCGGAAUUACUGGGCGUAAAGCGCACGCAGGCGGUUUGUUAAGUCAGAUGUGAAAUCCCCGGGCUCAACCUGGGAACUGCAUCUGAUACUGGCAAGCUUGAGUCUCGUAGAGGGGGGUAGAAUUCCAGGUGUAGCGGUGAAAUGCGUAGAGAUCUGGAGGAAUACCGGUGGCGAAGGCGGCCCCCUGGACGAAGACUGACGCUCAGGUGCGAAAGCGUGGGGAGCAAACAGGAUUAGAUACCC
rnacentral:rRNA from 1 species